UACAGAGGUCCCAAGCGUUGUUCGGAAUCACUGGGCGUAAAGGGCGCGUAGGCGGCUUUGUAAGUCGGGGGUGAAAGCCUGUGGCUCAACCACAGAAUUGCCUUCGAUACUGCAUGGCUUGAGACCGGAAGAGGUAAGUGGAACUGCGAGUGUAGAGGUGAAAUUCGUAGAUAUUCGCAAGAACACCAGUGGCGAAGGCGGCUUACUGGUCCGGUUCUGACGCUGAGGCGCGAAAGCGUGGGGAGCAAACAGG
rnacentral:rRNA from 1 species